rnacentral:lncRNA from 1 species
GUACUUUAUGCAGGCCUGCUCCGCCACAUGCUGAAGUUGCCAGCUUCACAGAAUUGCAACCUCUUGAUUCAUCGUACAGGCCAGUAUCCACAUGUGUGACUGGAGCUACAAGGUUGCACGCAGACCCACAAGUGCUCGCCUUCAUGGAAAGGAUCUUACACAUACU